AGGGGACAGGAUCCUUCUCCAACUGACCGGCCAUUUUCCCCCCAGGCUGCCAGCACCUUAUCAGGUGGUGUUUGUCCAUCCGCCCCUCGGACAGGCCAGCACUGGAAGACCUUUUGUGCCAUCCUUGGGUGCAGGGCAUUCCCCUGCCCUAGAAGACGGGAGAGAUCCACGUGCUCCCUUUGAUCCAGGGGCCUGGCAGCUGGGCCCUCGGCAGAACGCUGACAGCCUGGUCUGGUCCCCAGGGAAGGAGAAGGGGCCUCUGGAGAAGCUGUGCCGGGUGGGCCUGCUGCUGGAGACAUCGAGGACGACGUCGAGGAUGACAAGCUCUCAGCUGACCUGGACGCCGGCGAGCUGAAGAGGAUGGACUUUGAUUCUGGCCCCUUCCUCCAAGCCGUGCUCCACACGCCGUUUGCAGAUGAGUCCACACCCAGGGGGUGCUCCCGGACACGGGCAUUGCACAGCCUGGCUGGGCACCGAAGGUUCCCCUUUGCUGAUGGGGAACCUGAGGAAUUCUUCAGCCGGCUGCCAAGCUGCUUCUUGGCAGGAGGGCGGGCGGGUGCUCUGGGCUGGCUGUGAAAUGGGAGCCCGGCUCUGCCCCCAGCCUCUGCCACUGCCCCUUUGCUGGGCGGGGCUGGGGCAGGGGCAGCCAGCCUGCCAAAAACAAACCCCCGUGGGGGGAGCAAAGGCGGGGCUGCAGAACACCAGCUGCUUUGGGCUGCAGGCCAGGAAAGGCUUGGGCUGCCUUGGCUUAGGAGCCUUUCUUUGGGCCAGUGCAGCAGGGCAGGGAGAAGGCCUGGGUUUUCCUGAGCUGGAGGAGGUGGGGUUUUCCUUUGGCCUGGAGGGCUUGGGCCUUCCUCAGAACCCUGACAGAAGGUUAACAUUUUACCUUUUUUUCUUGUUUCUGCUUUUGCUUUGUAAUCUCUGUUCAUGAAUUUGUUGUUUGUUUUCCAGGGAAGAGUUGGAGCUGGUGCCCAGUCCGGGUUGGGAAGGGCUGGGACCAUCCCUGGAGAGGAUCUGACGUCCCCUCUGAGAAGGCUGAGGACAUCCUUUGGGACACGCUCUUCUUGCGGCAGCAGAUCUUGUGAGACAGGACACCUCUGCCUGAUCUCCCGCGGAUCCGAGGGAUCUCUGGAUCUUCACGCCAGCACCAGGACUUUGCUGCAGAAGAGCACAGAUCCCCUGCCCAGUCUGGGACACAGAACCUGUGAAAGGGCAGAAAGAUUGUGGUGUGAAUGCAGCACCCUCAGAGCCCUUGGUGUGAGCCCGGAAAGGAAAAUCAAGCUGAGGGACAAGAUCAGUCUAAUUUGGGGACAUUGUUGGAGGUUGGAGUUGCAGUUCUGGAAGAAAUCCCUGAGGAAAUGGUGCCCCCGGGGAGAGGAAGAGGACGAGAGCAUGGGCAGCCUGCUUCAAACAUCCCCCCAGGAGACCUGGGAUCAGUCCCUGUGCAUCCUGUAAGAAAGAUGGACACUGGAAAUGGGAUUGUCCGCAACUGAAACUUCAGAACCCUCCGAACCCUCUCGUGGCAUCACUGAAGACGACUGAGGGGGCACCAGAGGAUUCUUCCCCAUCAGAACAUCUGGUUCCAGCCAAGCUAAGCACAAUUGUUUGUAGCUGUGGGAACUUGUUCCUCUGUGUUAAAUCCGGGAAAAUGAAACUCAAGGGACAAUUCUAGAACAAUUGUCUGGUGUGCCAGGGACUUGGGAAACUGGGCCAUUUUUAAUGCUGUGGCUUUGAAAUUGGGAAAACAGUGGUUGGCUCCCCAGUUUUUGUAUUUCCCCAAUUCCCCAAAGCCUCUGCUUGGGAGAGAUCUCUUGGCAAAAUGAAAUGCCACAAUCCAAUUGAAAAAUGGUCCAAUAUAGGUUAUUAUUGCAGAGCCUAAUUCUGGGGAAGUUUCUAGUUUUGCAUGAGAGUCUCCCAAAGCAGAAGUAAUCCAUCUGCCACCAUCACUUGGGGAUGCAGUGGUUCCAACAGGAUGGGCUGGAGAGGUGCCUCCAUGAUCCAAGAGAGCAGAACCCGUGAGAAUUCCAGAGAAACCUGGAGUGGGGUUGGUGAGGCCAAAGCAAUGUCCUUUGCAAAUAGAAAGUUGUAAGGGAUUCUCACCCUUUGUAGAACAAUUGAUGAAAUUUUGCUUGUGAAAAGAAUGUGAAUCUAAAUGGAA